UACGUAGGGUGCGAGCGUUGUCCGGAAUUAUUGGGCGUAAAGGGCGCGUAGGCGGUUCUUCAAGUCUCUCGUGAAAUCCCUCGGCUUAACUGAGGACGUGCGGGAGAUACUGAAGGGCUUGAGUCCGGAAGAGGGUGGUGGAAUUCCCAGUGUAGCGGUGAAAUGCGUAGAUAUUGGGAGGAACACCGGUGGCGAAGGCGGCCACCUGGGCCGGAACUGACGCUGAGGCGCGAAAGCGUGGGGAGCAAACGGG
rnacentral:rRNA from 1 species